CCAGGGUGAUGACAAAUCCGUGAGGGUGGAGAUUAUACCUCUCUCAUCAUUUCAGCACCAAGGAAAUAAAUUAGUGGCAGAGUAAGGGUGACUUGAUGAAUCUGGAAGCGAGGAUCUUUUAAAAAUCCUGAAAUAUACACUGCAAUAAAAGAACAAAGCAUACACCUCAGCCUUAAAUGACUGAAGAAGUAUGUCAAGUAGCAGCAGGUGGGAAAGUGGCUUUGGUUUUCAGUUUGUGAGCUCUGAAUCCACACAGAAACAGGACUGCAUUCUGACAACCUGAAUUAAUUAUUGUCCUUACCACAAUGAGGCAGAAAAGUAUAAUAAAAAUCAUUAGUAUUUCAGUCACAAUUAAUGCCAAGAUGAGUUUGUCAGUAUAGCCAUAUCCUGGAACUUAUUUUGUGAGCUAAAAAAAACAAAAAAACAAAA
rnacentral:lncRNA from 10 species